rnacentral:rRNA from 1 species
UACAGAGGGUGCGAGCGUUGUUCGGAAUUACUGGGCGUAAAGCGCGCGCAGGCGGCCCUUUAAGUCCGUCGGUCAAAUGCCGGGGCUCAACCCCGGGCGUGCCGAGGAUACUGGAGGGCUGGAGACACGUAGAGGCAAGCGGAAUUCCGGGUGUAGCGGUGGAAUGCGUAGAGAUCCGGAAGAACACCGGAGGCGAAGGCGGCUUGCUGGGCGUGAUCGUGACGCUGAGGCGCGAAAGCGUGGGGAGCGAACAGG